GGGGAAUAUUGCACAAUGGAGGAAACUCUGAUGCAGCAACGCCGCGUGAGGGAAGAAGGUCUUCGGAUCGUAAAGCUCUGUUGCCAGGGAAGAACGUCCGUUAGAGUAACUGCUAACGGAGUGACGGUACCUGAGAAGAAAGCCCCGGCUAACUACGUGCCAGCAGCCGCGGUAAUACGUAGGGGGCGAGCGUUGUCCGGAAUUAUUGGGCGUAAAGCGCGCGCAGGCGGCUGUUUAAGUCUGGUGUUUAAUCCUGGGGCUCAACCCCGGGUCGCACUGGAAACUGGACAGCUUGAGUGCAGAAGAGGAGAGUGGAAUUCCACGUGUAGCGGUGAAAUGCGUAGAGAUGUGGAGGAACACCAGUGGCGAAGGCGACUCUCUGGGCUGUAACUGACGCUGAGGCGCGAAAGCGUGGGGAGCAAAC
rnacentral:rRNA from 1 species